UAGUACUAAAACACUAGUCACACACAACUCAGUCUAAGUAGGAAGAUGAAGUUAAAAAUUGGCAGGCGGCUGGAUGUGAGGGCGAUCUGGCUGCAACAUGUGUCACCCCAUUGAUUGCCAGGGUUGAUUCAUCUGAUCCGGCUGACUAGGCGAGUGUCCCCUUCCUACCUCACUGCUCCAUGUGUCUCCCUCCUGAAGCUGCACACUUGGUCGAAGAGGACGACCAUCCUGAUAGAGGAGGACCGGUGUUCUGUCAAGGGUAUACGAGUAGCUGCACUCCCCUGCUAGAACC
rnacentral:lncRNA from 1 species